CCUCCUCACCUUACUACUGGUGUUGUUUCCCUCCUCUGCUGCCUCCCUUCGCCUCUCCUCCCAUCCUAGAGGACAGAGCAAUGCGGAGACAAUAGGACGCAGAGCCGGAGGAGUCUGGAGGAUGCGCGGCGCCACAUCCACCGUCACACGGCUGCACGGAGGCUUUUCACAGGACACCGACAUCAGACGAUUCUCCCGGCUUAUCUGGCCUUAGUAUGCGAUCAGAUUAUCCCGUGUGUUUACCAGCAGCCUGGGCUGACAGGGCAGACUGCACAGCUCCCAUAUGGGAACCAACUGAAGGCUAACCAAGUGCUUUUGUUAAUGUCCCGGUGUUGGUUGCGGCAUUCCAGAUCAACAGCAGACGUUGGAGGAUACCUAACGCAUAAUGCAAUAUGUGACGUAUUGGGAUAAGAACAUGUUGACACGAGGCAUGCCAGAGAAGCAAGCUUUGGUUACAGCCAGGAUCUGAGGCCCACAAAGCACUUGUGAAGACUGUAAAAGACAAGCGCCUUUUGAAAGACCUGGGUCACCUGACGAAGUGCGUCCACACAACAUCACUAGAGGUGUACCACUCCAUGUACCUGAAAUACCUUCCACAGAGAACACAUUUCGGAUAUGAUGUAAUGAUCCAUGCCUCCAUGCUUGCGGCUCUGGAUCAUAACAACAAUGCAAACAGGGAACAGGCUGCUCUUCAAGAUGGAGAGAAUGUUGGUGAACCAAAGUUCAAGAUCUCAUGGAGCAAGGUCCACAAAAGAUUCCGAGCAAAACCAGUGGCUGUCCAGAAGGACUACGGCUACAUGAAGGCCAUGGUGGCAGAUGUUCUCUCCUCUGUGUCAGAUUCAAACCAUGGCAUGGACAUUAGACUGAACCAGACUCACAUCAUGGCUCCACCAGAGAGACCAUCCAGAUCACACAUCAUUUCUAAAACACAGCAGUUUUCACGCAUAAAGCAGUUAGAUUUCAGCAGAGUUUGUGUAACUUUACAAAUCAAAAUGUUUGUCCUGCCCGAAACAUGUAGGUGUUUUUGUACCAGAGAAGAGUUGCCUUGGCUCCUGUUUUUUGUUUAAGAAAUCAAAAUGUUUAAUCGGACCUCUAUGUGACAUAAUGAAUAAGUGUUUGAUCUCAAUUUCUUUAUAAAUGCAUUAAAAGGAACUUUGUAAUGGUUAAGAAUUGUUUUAUAUCCGUUUGAUUGAAUUUAAAGUGAAAUCAGCUUUGAUCCAGUGAUUCCUGAGCUCAGCAGAGGAAUGUUUACACAUUCAGUUUCAGUUUACUUACCAUCAUUUACUAAUAUUUCAUUUACUACAUGUGAUGUCUGUCAUGCUAAGAUGAUGUAAACUGUAUAUCAUAGUAUGUAUUUUUGACAUCAAUAUUCAAAUCUGAAAAAAAAAUCCUCUAAAGCAAUCUUCAGAUCUGAUCAUUAAUAAAUCAAAAAACAAACGAGAGAUCUCUGCUGAUAUUCAUAUAAUUUAUUUACAACAUUCAGAAAUGUUUCAUAGCUGUUUCAACAUUAUAAGUCAUUAAAAUUUCUCCAUGAUUCAUCAA